CCAGUACUGAGGGGAGAUGUCUGAAGAUUAAGUUCAGAGAGGCAAGACACCUUGGACUUUCCAGCCAGCAUAAUUUGAAGAAUGUUUAAAGUGAUAGCAUCAUUUAUGGAUGAUAUGGAUCAUUUUUGCAGCGGCCAUUGAAUCAAGAGAAUUUUGGACAUGAAAGAAGAGGCAAGCUCCAGAGUACUGCAUGGAAAGAUGUCAGAAAAGGCCCACGGCAGAGCUUCACUCUUCGUCAUGCCCCUUCUGACUUGACCUUCAGCUGCAGUUUGUCUACCAAAUCCUGAAGACGAUGCAGAUUCUUCUUAUCUUCCUCGGUCUAAGGGUAAAGAAUUAGGAUCCGGUUGGGGAAGCCCUUUCUGCAGAUCCUGAUGCCUUCCAGCACACCGUUACAGCGCAGCUGGUGCAUGACCAGAGGAUUCUCCAUGGCCCCAGGAGUCUUGGUCUCGUUGGGGAUGAUGCAGCGCACAAAGUGGGGGUAUGGAAGCCAAAGACAAACUCCAGACUACAGCAUGAAUAUCUUUCAGGAAGGCCUACGACAGAGCUUCACUCUUCCUAAUGUGCUUUCUGUGAGAAAAAGGAAAACAAAUUAGACGGGUGCCAGUGCUGUGCCUUGAUGUGCAUACAGACUUACGCUGCACCUGUCUACUAGAAGCGAACCAAGGAAUGCCCAAGGUUUGGAACCCAUUGGACAUUGAUUUUGUUCAGAGGGACACAGCUUCUUGGACUUCUCAACAAGUGUAAAUAUGAAUUGGUAUGGGAGCCAAAGUGAAGCUCCAGAGCACUGCACACAAUGGUUUCAGAAAAGGCUCUUCACUCCUCGUCAUGCCCUUUCUGUGAAAAAAUGAAGGGAGAAAAAAGAAAAUGAGUCUGGACUUGACCUUCAGCUGCAGUUUGUCCACCAGAUCCUGAAGACGAUGCAGAUUCUUCUUGUCUUCUUCAGUCUAGAGAUAAAGAGUCAGGAUACAGGAUCCUGUUGGGGAAGCCCUUUCUGCAGAUCCUGAUGCCUUCCAGCACACCGUUACAGCGAAGCUGGUGCAUGACCAGAGGAUUCUCCAUGGCCCCAGGAGUCUUGGUCUCGUUGGGGAUGAUGCAGCGCACAAAGUGGGGGUUUGGAUACCUGUUCAACGUAGAAGUACAUCUUGGACUUCCUAGUCAUUCUCAAGCAGUAGGUUAUGGUACCAUGAGGAGUUAUACGGAUAAUUUAUGCUGCAUUUGCUGAACCAAGAACCUUAUGGAUAUUAAAGUAUGGGAGCCAAAGGCAACCUCCACAGCACCGCACUCAAUGGUUUCAGAAAAGGCCCAAGAUAGAGCUUCACUCUUCAUCGUGCCCUUUCUGUGGAAGAAUAAAGGGAGAACAAAGAAAAUAAAAAUGAGUCAGGACUUGACCUUCAGCUGCAGUUUGUCCACCAGAUCCUGAAGACGAUGCAGAUUCUUCUUGUCUUCUUCAGUCUAGAGAUAAAGAGGUUAGUAAGCCAUGAUAAUUGUUAUGAUGAAUGAGACAGAAAAUGGAAGAUAGAGACGAAAAGUUUAAUUUUGUUCACUACAUGCCAACUUCAGUACCUGGUAAGUGAGCUCCUUGAUGCGGCGCUCAUAUUUACGGAUUCCUUUUAUAGAAUCACUGGCCUUCCGUUGUUCCAGGAGCUUCACUCCUCUUCUUGCCUCUGUAAGCAAGAACAACUUCAUGGUUGUACACUGGCAACCACUUGUAGGGGUUGAUAGUGACACAGAACAACCCAGAGUAGGUCUGUACAAAGACGAGAUUAAUAAUGGAGAGUUUGUUUCUGUAUUAGAAUUGCAUAAGAAUCUAGAACUCAUCAAUACUCAUUCACUGUACUCACAUAGAUCAUCGAGGCUGCGUAACGCUCUUUGAGGUUAAACAGCACAGCAGGCUCAUGCAGGAAGGUAAACAUUGCCAUGUCCUCAAUUUUAUCGAACUUUGGCGGGUUUUGAGGGUGGACUUCUGUGUCUUUCACAGUGACAACCUGGAAUAGCAGUGUUUCUACAGUUAGUAAAAGAUGAACUUGCUAACUGCACACUUAAAUGUUGAACGUCAACAAAUCCAUAGAUCAGAAUAAGUGCUCUCCUACCUUUCCUUUCUCAAUUUCAAAGGUUAAAAUAUAAUGUUGUUUUGGACAAAAGCUUCUGCUAAGAGAUUUAGGUAUAAAUAGAAACAACUGCGAUAUAAAGCACAAUCGCUUACCCCACCUUUAAAUGUUGACCGCCAUUCUGUCGACCAGAAUAUGUGCCCUCCUACCUUUCCUUUUUCAGUUUCAGCGGUGACUUUGUCCCCGUCUCUGCUUUGGAUCGUUCCCUUUACAAAUUCAACCUCAGGGUCCACCACGAAGCAGGCCCUCUUAAUGUCAAAGGGGCGAGUCUGGGCCUCCAGACGCUCCAUGUCCGACUUCCUCAGAAAAGGAGCCGCCGCCCCAAAUUUUUCCAAUGCCACAUCACCCAUCUUUCACCCUAAAAGACCAUUCGGUAUUUGAGUUAAUGACAGUAGUAAAACAAAAACAAAUUGUCCCUUACAAUUUUUGAAGUUAACUAGAGCUAAUGUAAACAAGUGAAAGUUAAUUAGGGCUAUACGCCGUAUAGUUUAGUGUAUGUGUGAAUGUUACAUGUGCACUGGAGGGGUCUAAUACAUUAAUGGUUACAUGGUUAAUAUGUUGCACUGAUCUUUAAUGAAUUCAUGUAGUCAGUCCUGGUACCUUUAGUUUCUCUUUUGCUGCUUGACUGAAUUCCCUGAAUAGUAUAACUAAAGUUCCAUCACUAUUGACAGACACGUGUAUCAUUUCUGUGUUUCUGAUAUCUAAGCCCCAUUUUUGGAGGAGAAAAAUGAAUGAAGCAAGUAGUAAGCCUUUCCAAACAAAAAGGAAUCAGUUAUAUGCUUCAAGCAUAGUAUUUAGACAACAAUAGGCUGAAAACAUUGCCAUUGCAAACAUUGUGCUGUCUAUCAGCAAUGUAGGCAUAAUAAGGUCAGGCAGUACCUAAGCAUAUAGAAAGAACCUGAUAGUAACCUUAGAGUAGCUUAAGUUUAAUAAAUUCAUUUCAAGUCUUUAAAUAAAAAGCUGGACACUGUUAAACAUAUUAUUUAAUCUGGUUUAGGCUGCAGCUCCGCAUAUAGAAAGAACCUGAUAGUAACCUUAGAGUAGCUUAAGUUUAAUAAAUUCAUUUCAAGUCUUUAAAUAAAAAGCUGGACACUGUUAAACAUAUUGUUUCAUUUGGUUUAGGCUGCAGCUCCGUCCAUGGAUUUCAGAUAACAAUAACAACAAGAUAACAAUUAAAAACGAAUGUGUUAUGUUCAUUAACUAUAUUUACCGUAUGUUUGCUGCUCUUGCUGAUAAGUCUGUCCUUUUAGCAAUGAUCUGUAAGAGAGAUGGGCAACAGCAUUGCUAUUGUCUGACAUUCUGAACACACACAAAUUGAGAUCAAUUAUCAACUUGUCAUAAUAUAUCAAAUGUAAAAAUUCGAAUUUAGAGACUUGUAAAUUCUUUAGAUCACAAUACUGUGCUAAAUAAAAACAUAUUAUCCUAUAUGUAUAUGGAUAAUGGCACUGACUGUAUCAAAGCUGCCAUUGCCUUGUUUUGGUGGCUGAGAGAGUGGGGUGGCUGGAAUUGUGGUUAUUCCAUGGAUCGUGCCAGCGAGAGGCUCCAACAGGAAACAGGAGGGCUGCUGGAAUGAUCUCCAGGGAACAAGGUAUUUGCAAGGUGACACGGUAAUGAUGCUAGGGCUGCAACAAACAAUGAUUUUCAUUUUUCAUUUUCAGUCAGCUUAUUAUUUUUAAUUAAUCAAUUAGUGGUAAUUUAGUUUAUUAAUGUCAUAUAGGAGUAAAGAAAAGAGAACAUAUUUGUCCCUUUUUUUCUUUAUCUUGAAAUAUUACUAAAACACAAAAAACAAAUCAAUUGUCAAAAUGGCUUACAGUUAAUUUGUUUCAAACUAUUGAUGUCGCUCGAAUAACAAUUAUAAUGACCAGGUCAAAGAAGUCUUUAAAUAAAAGCAAUUAGUAUUUUGCUAUGAAUUUUAAUAGGUCAGUUUUGUAUGCUGUUUUAAUACAUCUUACACAUUGUUCAAAACUUGUGCAAAUCUUGUUCAGACUCUUUCUUAUUUUUUCCUAUAUGACACCUUUUUUCUUAUGCUUCUUAUGCUUAAGUUCACAUGAAAGAGGGCUCCCACAAAUCAAGACAUUGUUGAAUUUAUAUUUGUAUUGCUAAAGGUAAUUUGAUAUUGUUUUGCUGUAGUACAAGCAGUUAGUCAGAAGUGCCCUCAUGCAUAAGUUCAUACGUACACAUUUUAGAGAAAUAUUGGCCAACUAUAAUGAAGCGGCUACAGCAUUUUGUAAAGAUGAAGGUUUUGAUGAACUAUGGCAUAUGAAAUGUGAUAAUAAAAUAGAUUGAUCAACA